AUUGAACGCUGGCGGCAUGCCUUACACAUGCAAGUCGAACGGCAGCGCGGGAGCAAUCCUGGCGGCGAGUGGCGAACGGGUGAGUAAUAUAUCGGAACGUGCCCAGUAGUGGGGGAUAGCCCGGCGAAAGCCGGAUUAAUACCGCAUACGACCUACGGGUGAAAGGGGGGGAUCGCAAGACCUCUCGCUAUUGGAGCGGCCGAUAUCAGAUUAGGUAGUUGGUGGGGUAAAGGCCCACCAAGCCUGCGAUCUGUAGUUGGUCUGAGAGGACGACCAGCCACACUGGGACUGAGACACGGCCCAGGCUCCUACGGGAGGCAGCAGGGGGGAAUUUUGGGCAAUGGGGGGAACCCUGAUCCAGCAAGGCCGCGGGCAGGAAGAAGGCCUUCGGGUUGUAAACUGCUUUUGUCAGGGAAGAAAUCUUCUGGGUUAAUACCUCGGGAGGAUGACGGUACCUGAAGAAUAAGCACCGGCUAACUACGUGCCAGCAGCCGCCGUAA
rnacentral:rRNA from 1 species